rnacentral:lncRNA from 1 species
AUCAACAUGCAUUUUAAAAGGCCCAACUAUAGCAAGCCUUUAGAAGAAACCCAGUCCCUUUGGUUGACUUUUGAUUUUCUCUUCUUUGGGAUGGGAGCCAUAUUUAUCAUUGCAUUUCUCCUUUUUCUUAUCCUUUUUUUGGUAUCAACUUCUUCACUCAGUGUAAACUCACUAACCCAGCAAUCACUUGUUUAUGGAUUGAAAUGAGGGCACAUUAAUAAUAAUACCUUAAUCUGGUGAAUCUUAGUUUUUCCUGUUUACACAGGACAUCAUCCAUCUCCAGUUACUUACUGGAGCCUUGUAGGGGCUUAGCAGUUAGACUAGGCAUGCUGCCCCCAGCCUGUCCUCUCUGCACUGUGUCCUGACCUCUUCUGCUGGUGUGCUUCAUUAAAAGGAUACCCUGCUGAACACAGCAGGCUUCUGCAAUGGCCUUUUUGAGUUCUUAGGGAAGAACAGCCCUUCUUCAGCCCUGGUCAUGCUUUCUCACCUGGGCCCUGAAGCAGCACUGCAUGGUUUCAUAGCCUUAUGCAGCCUUUUAUGAACACAAAGAGUUUUCCUGCUCUCUUUCUUCUGUGUAGGUCAGAUAGUGUUCCUUCCUUUCCACUGUCCUUGCCUUUUUCUCUCUCUCCUCCUGUCCCUUACCCACAUUUCCCUUCUCUCCAGAUUCCUGUAACUUAAUACGUCCCCUUCAUUCCUCUUGUCCAAGGCUUCUUCAUUUAUUGACUCAUAUGCUAAAUUCACAGAGGAUUCCUUGUCCUUUGGUUUCACAAAGAGGUGGAUGGAUACCCCAGGCCAGCACAGCAAAAAAACAAAAAAACACCAAAAAUCAAAAACCAAAAAAACCCAGAAGUUGCCUUCAUGGCUUAUCAGUUAGCGAACCCGACUAGGAUCCAUGAGGAUGCGGAUAUGAUCCCUGGCCUUGCUCAGUGGGUUAAGGAUCUGGCAUUGCUGUGAGUUGUGGUGUAGUUGCAGACAUGGCUUGGAUCCUGAGUUGCUGUAGCUGUGGCUGGCAGCUGUAUCUUCGAUUCGACCCCUAGCCUGGAAAUUUCCAUAUGCCACAAGUGCAGCCCUAAAAAGCAAAAAAAAAAAAAAAAAAAAAAAAAAAAAA